rnacentral:rRNA from 1 species
UACAGAGACCCCAAGCGUUAUCCGGAAUUACUGGGCGUAAAGCGCGAGCAUCCGGUCGUGUUAGUCCGAUGUUAAAUCUCCUGGCUCAACUGGGAGACCGCAUUGGAAACGGCACGGCUAGAACGGGUGAGAGGCAAGCGGAACGUGCAGUGUAGGGGUGAAAUCCAUUGAUAUUGCACGGAACACCAAAAGCGAAGGCAGCUUGCUAGCACUUUGUUGACGGUCAAUCGCGAAAGCGUGGGGAUCAAAA